rnacentral:rRNA from 1 species
UACGGGGGGGGCAAGCGUUGUUCGGAAUUACUGGGCGUAAAGGGUCCGUAGGUGGCCAACUAAGUCAGACGUGAAAUCCCUCAGCUUAACUGGGGAACUGCGUCUGAGACUGGAUGGCUCGAGUGCAGGAGAGGAAUGCGGAAUUCCAGGUGUAGCGGUGAAAUGCGUAGAUAUCUGGAGGAACACCGGUGGCGAAGGCGGCAUUCUGGACUGCAACUGACACUGAACGACGAAAGCCAGGGGAGCAAACGGG